rnacentral:tRNA from 1 species
GGGGCUGUAGCUCAUCUGGGAGAGCGUCUGACUGGCAGUCAGAAGGUAGAGAGUUCAAGUCUCUUCAGCUCCACAA